GCCUGAAUCAGUGUGUGUGUUAGUGGAAGCGUCUGGAAAGGCGCGCGAUACAGGGUGACAGCCCCGUACACAAAAAUGCACAUGCUGUGAGCUCGAUGAGUAGGGCGGGACACGUGGUAUCCUGUCUGAAUAUGGGGGGACCAUCCUCCAAGGCUAAAUACUCCUGACUGACCGAUAGUGAACCAGUACCGUGAGGGAAAGGCGAAAAGAACCCCGGCGAGGGGAGUGAAAAAGAACCUGAAACCGUGUACGUACAAGCAGUGGGAGCACAGAGCAAUCUGUGUGACUGCGUACCUUUUGUAUAAUGGGUCAGCGACUUAUAUUCUGUAGCAAGGUUAACCGAAUAGGGGAGCCGAAGGGAAACCGAGUCUUAACUGGGCGUUAAGUUGCAGGGUAUAGACCCGAAACCCGGUGAUCUAGCCAUGGGCAGGUUGAAGGUUGGGUAACACUAACUGGAGGACCGAACCGACUAAUGUUGAAAAAUUAGCGGAUGACUUGUGGCUGGGGGUGAAAGGCCAAUCAAACCGGGAGAUAGCUGGUUCUCCCCGAAAGCUAUUUAGGUAGCGCCUCGUGAAUUCAUCUCCGGGGGUAGAGCACUGUUUCGGCAAGGGGGUCAUCCCGACUUACCAACCCGAUGCAAACUGCGAAUACCGGAGAAUGUUAUCACGGGAGACACACGGCGGGUGCUAACGUCCGUCGUGAAGAGGGAAACAACCCAGACCGCCAGCUAAGGUCCCAAAGUCAUGGUUAAGUGGGAAACGAUGUGGGAAGGCCCAGACAGCCAGGAUGUUGGCUUAGAAGCAGCCAUCAUUUAAAGAAAGCGUAAUAGCUCACUGGUCGAGUCGGCCUGCGCGGAAGAUGUAACGGGGCUAAACCAUGCACCGAAGCUGCGGCAGCGACGCUUAUGCGUUGUUGGGUAGGGGAGCGUUCUGUAAGCCUGCGAAGGUGUGCUGUGAGGCAUGCUGGAGGUAUCAGAAGUGCGAAUGCUGACAUAAGUAACGAUAAAGCGGGUGAAAAGCCCGCUCGCCGGAAGACCAAGGGUUCCUGUCCAACGUUAAUCGGGGCAGGGUGAGUCGACCCCUAAGGCGAGGCCGAAAGGCGUAGUCGAUGGGAAACAGGUUAAUAUUCCUGUACUUGGUGUUACUGCGAAGGGGGGACGGAGAAGGCUAUGUUGGCCGGGCGACGGUUGUCCCGGUUUAAGCGUGUAGGCUGGUUUUCCAGGCAAAUCCGGAAAACUAAGGCUGAGGCGUGAUGACGAGGCACUACGGUGCUGAAGCAACAAAUGCCCUGCUUCCAGGAAAAGCCUCUAAGCAUCAGGUAACAUCAAAUCGUACCCCAAACCGACACAGGUGGUCAGGUAGAGAAUACCAAGGCGCUUGAGAGAACUCGGGUGAAGGAACUAGGCAAAAUGGUGCCGUAACUUCGGGAGAAGGCACGCUGAUAUGUAGGUGAAGUCCCUCGCGGAUGGAGCUGAAAUCAGUCGAAGAUACCAGCUGGCUGCAACUGUUUAUUAAAAACACAGCACUGUGCAAACACGAAAGUGGACGUAUACGGUGUGACGCCUGCCCGGUGCCGGAAGGUUAAUUGAUGGGGUUAGCGGUAACGCGAAGCUCUUGAUCGAAGCCCCGGUAAACGGCGGCCGUAACUAUAACGGUCCUAAGGUAGCGAAAUUCCUUGUCGGGUAAGUUCCGACCUGCACGAAUGGCGUAAUGAUGGCCAGGCUGUCUCCACCCGAGACUCAGUGAAAUUGAACUCGCUGUGAAGAUGCAGUGUACCCGCGGCAAGACGGAAAGACCCCGUGAACCUUUACUAUAGCUUGACACUGAACAUUGAGCCUUGAUGUGUAGGAUAGGUGGGAGGCUUUGAAGUGUGGACGCCAGUCUGCAUGGAGCCGGCCUUGAAAUACCACCCUUUAAUGUUUGAUGUUCUAACGUUGGCCCCUGAUCGGGGUUGCGGACAGUGUCUGGUGGGUAGUUUGACUGGGGCGGUCUCCUCCUAAAGAGUAACGGAGGAGCACGAAGGUUGGCUAAUCCUGGUCGGACAUCAGGAGGUUAGUGCAAUGGCAUAAGCCAGCUUGACUGCGAGCGUGACGGCGCGAGCAGGUGCGAAAGCAGGUCAUAGUGAUCCGGUGGUUCUGAAUGGAAGGGCCAUCGCUCAACGGAUAAAAGGUACUCCGGGGAUAACAGGCUGAUACCGCCCAAGAGUUCAUAUCGACGGCGGUGUUUGGCACCUCGAUGUCGGCUCAUCACAUCCUGGGGCUGAAGUAGGUCCCAAGGGUAUGGCUGUUCGCCAUUUAAAGUGGUACGCGAGCUGGGUUUAGAACGUCGUGAGACAGUUCGGUCCCUAUCUGCCGUGGGCGCUGGAGAACUGAGGGGGGCUGCUCCUAGUACGAGAGGACCGGAGUGGACGCAUCACUGGUGUUCGGGUUGUCAUGCCAAUGGCACUGCCCGGUAGCUAAAUGCGGAAGAGAUAAGUGCUGAAAGCAUCUAAGCACGAAACUUGCCCCGAGAUGAGUUCUCCCUGACUCCUUGA
rnacentral:rRNA from 1 species